CCCCCGCGCCUAGCGCCUUAGCCGCCGUUCAUAAGAGCGAAUGAAGCUCCCGCCAUGGCUCACGGCCGUGCCGCCGGACCCUCGGGCGUACGGCCACCUCAUCCAGCUCUGCGCUGACUCCGGCAACCUCGCCGCCGGCCGCCAGCUCCACGCCCGCCUUGUCUCUCUCUCCGUGACGCCGUCUAACUUCCUCGCGUCCAAGCUCAUCUCCCUCUACUCCCGCGCGGCGCGCCUCGACGACGCGCGCAGGGUGUUCGACGCCAUCCCGCGGCCCAGCGUCUUCGCCUGGAACGCCAUUCUUAUCGCGCUCUCGCUCCACUCGCCAGACCCCUCUGCCGCGGUUCGCCUCUUUGCCGCCUCCGGCAUCUCACCGGACGAGGUCACGCUCUCCGCGCUCCUCAAGUCGCUCGCCGCGUCCGGGCCGUGGCUGUCCGCGCUCGUGGCCGGGGAGCUCCACGCCGUCGCGAUCCUGCGCGGUUUUGGGGCCGACCUGUUCGUGUCCAAUGGGCUCAUCACUGCCUAUGCCAACGCCGGAGAUACGCGCUCUGCUCGCGCGGUGUUCGAUGAAAUGCCGCAGCGAGACGUCGUGUCCUGGAACUCGCUGAUAUCAUCGUAUGCCCGUGAAGGAUGGUACCGCGAAUGCCUGGACCUGUUCCAAGAGUUGAUACGGUUUCACACCGGUGGUGGCGGUGUUGGACCGAACAGUGUUACGGUAAGCAGUGUACUGCAUGCCUGCACGCAGCUCAAGGCUGUUGAUUUUGGGGUCAGAGUGCACCAGUUUGCUGCCGAGAAUGGGCUUGAUUUGGAUGUUGCAGUUUGGAACUCAAUAGUUGGAUUUUACGCGAAAUGUGGGCGGUUGCACUAUGCAAGAGAAUUAUUCGAAGGGAUGCCUAAGAAAGAUUCAGUCAGUUACAGUGCAAUGAUCACUGGGUACAUGAACCAUGGGCAAGUUGAAAAGGGAAUGCAGCUUUUCCGGCAAGCAGAUGUUCAAGGAAUAAGCAUUUGGAACGCAGUGACUGCUGGAUUGGUUCAAAAUGGUUGCCUGUCCGAUGUGCUUGGCCUACUGCAUGAGAUGAUUGAUUCUGGCAUGCUACCCAAUUCAACCACGCUUUCAAUCAUCAUUCCAUCAGUUCCUUUGUUCUCCACGCUGCUGGGAGUGAAGCAAGCUCAUGGGUAUGUGAUCAGAAACAAUUAUGAUCAGAGUAUCAGUGUUGUGUGUGCAUUGGUCGAUGCUUACUCAAAGGCAGGAUUUUUUUAUGGGGCUCUGAAGGUGUUUGAAUUGACUGGAGAUAGAAGUAAAGUUGUAUGGACGUCAAUCAUAUCAGCUGCUGCAUCCCAUGGAGAAGCUGCAGAGUCAUUGCGCCUGUUCUAUGAGAUGAUCAGUGCUGGCACUAGGCCGGAUACCAUAACUUUCACUGCCGUGCUUACUGCCUGUGCUCAUGCUGGCAAGGUAGCUGAUGGUCGUAAAAUUUUUGACUCCAUGCAGGUUGUGUUUGGUAUCACUCCAGUGAUGGAGCAAUACGCUUGCUUGGUUUCUGCACUCAGCCGUGCAGGGAUGCUGAACAAUGCACUUGAGCUUGUAAACAGUAUGCCGAUUGAACCAAAUGCAAAGGUCUGGGGUCCAUUGCUUAAUGGAGCAGCAGAAUUCGGUGAUAUUGAGCUUGGUCGAUUUGCAUUUGAUCGACUGUUUAUGAUUGAGCCUAAGAACACUGGUAAUUACAUUGUAAUGGCUAAUUUGUACUCAAAUUCUGGCAAAUGGGAAGAAGCUGAGGUCAUAAGGAGCAUGAUGUGGGGAGUUGGGUUGGAGAAGGUUCCUGGUUGUAGUUGGAAUUGAAGGGUUCAAUGGUCUGCAUGUUUGUUGCUGUGGAUACAUCAAGCAAAUGAGCCACAUAAACUAUGUGGCUGUUGAUGUUUGAGUGAUCUGAAAUGUAGAAAAGGGCUUGUCCUCAACCAGUCUUAGUCUCUUAGAUGAAGACAAUUUAUACUGAUAGCAUUCAAAAAAUCUAAUAGUUGAGGUGUGAUUAUUAUGCCUGAGAGCACACCUGACUUUUGAGCUAUUUGGGCCACAUUAUUUCGCUCUUGACUGUUUGGUCGGUUGCUUUGAUUUGAUUGAUCAACUAAAUUUCGUAGGACCAAUGAACAUGAGAGUUGUAGCCAACGAGUGUGUCCUUCCACGAUCUUCUUAUCUUAACCUUUUGAACUGAUAGCUGACCUUAAACUCGAUUUCUUUACAAGAUGAGAGAUACCAAAGCAACAGGUUGUGCAGGCAUUAGCUAUACCUCCAGUCCUGGAUGGAACACCAAACAAGCUAUGUGCAGAAGAUUAUUCACUUCAUCAGCAAAAGUUUCUCUAGUGCUAUGGAUCCAAUGAAUAAAGGUUCUAAAUUACAACAAUAACCUGCUAUUUUCAGUAUCUACAUUAUAGAAACACCAUAGGUUUUGUGUAAAGCUGUAGAAUAUACUGGAUUUUUCUACAGUCCAUAAUGGUUUCCUGAACAUUUUGUUCUCUCUAUCAAAGCAAAUGCCCAGACCUGCUUCGCAUAUCCCCUAGACGCCUACCCCGUCCUGGCAUUACAAUCAGAACUGCACAGAGCUAGCACAACAAGAUCUGUCUUUUAGUGCCCCGUGCCUGUGGAUCAUGCUUCACAUGCUUGGAUCAUUCUACUUCACUACUUCCCAGCUCAUGAACUCCAAAAGGGAAAAGCGUGCGAGCAGUUUUCUGAAUUGCAACAACUUGUUCUGGCCUCACUAUCAGGAAGCCGUGACUCUUAUUUCGUUUUGUUUCCAGGGUUCACAUGCACCAAGUGCGCAAAUGCAUCAAUGUGAUAACGUUACUGGCGGUGUCUUUGAUGGAAUGAUCUUAAACCAUUAGGGGUUCGGCUAUUUGCAGCCUUACAAUGUUGGUGUAUGGUGGUCCAGCUCACCCUGGAGCCUUGGAGUCCAAGUGAAGAUAACUCCCAGCAGGCCAUGGUAAUAGCCAGCGGUGGCCUCUCUCCACUGGGGGUGGCCCUGCGCGGAGCACCGGCAUGGGCUACGUGUGUCUGGCUGCCUGCAUUCACUUGCCGGAGAAGCGCCGUCGUCAUCAUGUUCGUCGCUCUCGGCGCAAAAGCUCUGCUCCAGAUCGGGAGUGAUGGUCGCCGGUAACGUAGUAAUCAUUCCUGAAAAAAAGACGUGGACCCGGCGAAGGAUAACACUACUGCCCUGCAAUACCUAGAAGUUACCGUUUCCAUUGGAACAGGUACAGUCUCCCUCCCUUCGGUUUUGUCGUUCUACUUUGAUCUCUUUACACUUUCUUUACCUGUUGUUUUACAGCGCUUAGUCUUUGACUGCCUAAAUCUCCAGUCUAACCAUGUCCAUGGUGCCAAAGAUCCUGCAGCAGCCGUCCAAUGUCAUGUCCCAAUACGGCGUACCACGGAUUCUGGCAAUGAUCCCAGGGCAAAUGUCGCGGGUCUCUGUCCGUUUUCCUCAUGCCCAUAAUUCGUGCAUUAUUCCUGGAUGUUAAGCUCGUGGGCGAAGGAAUUUUCGUACGGUACAAGAACAUCAGCAGCAGAGCCUGCGGCCCGAGGAGAAUCCCAAGUCCUCGCACAAACCACUCGGGCUUCGCAAAGAUGGGGCGGCGCCGGAUGCCAAUCCCUCCAGCGUUUCUCCAGCUAAUUCCUCCCGGCAUUUAACAUGGCAGGUCGGUUGGAAUUAGUCUACGCUUUGUUUCAUCAAACUCUGCGUGCUUCUACUGUUUGUUAGCGCAUUGUUUUUGAGGGGUUGCUGUUAGCCUGUUAAUAUAUUUGGGAGUCCACAUGAGAGGACGGACAGCUCAAAUGUCAUUGUUAACGCUGUGCCAUCUGUCGGUUACCUCUCCAAUUCAGUCCAGUUCAAAUCAAACUGCAGAGGCAGCACAGGCAGCUCGUGAGGCAGAGCGCGACAAGGUCGGACAGGGACGCUCGACGCGAUCUCGUCCUGGUAUCAUGUACACGUACGUGCUAGUACUUCCAUUCGUCCAGAUUUUUUUUUCUAUAAAAGAAAACAAACGAGAAGUCGGUGGAUGCUGGGAAUUCUUUUCAGGCGCUGCUAUGCUAAAAACACGAGGAAAAGAAAAUGCAGCAAGAAGACAGGACAGGAGGGCUGGGGUCGACGAACAGCAGCAAGCGGGUUGAAUGAAUGAAGCAGCAGGAUCUGGCUUUCACGUGGCCGCCCUUUCUGCCCUCGGCUCCUCCCUCGCUUACACACACCAUGGCAGAACUCAGGAUUUCAGGUUGCAAGGCCCAAGGCGGUUGCCCACUUGCCCCACAUGUCCCCCCCUGCGACCAUCUCUUUGUACCGGUAAGUACACCUUUGCUUUUUAGUAUCGUUAGCAUUCUUAUCUGUACCAUCUACUCUGCAGGAUCAUUUUUUUGUAGGUUAAGGCUUGUGGCUUGGCACUUGGCAGCAUCCAGGUAUUAUUUCUGAGCUCAACGCACACUAUCAUGUGAGGUGAGGUGACUGCUGCAAGCGGGCAACGUUGCACUCAAGAAUUCUCCUACAUUUUGUCUCCUGUGUCAGUCCAAAAAAAAAGUCCCAAUAUCUUCUUAUUUCUGUAAAUUCUUAGUGAAGUAAAAAAAUGAAGAAAAAAAGGUAGAUGUCGUAACUGAAGAAUGUACUGCAGUGUAGUGAAAAGAGAGGGGAUGGUUCAAGUGACGCCAGUAAUGCACUUCACGGGUGGCCGUCACGGUCUCACGGACAAAACCGGCUCCUGUGGUCAUCAAAUCCCAUGCCUCUUUUCGAGGCGCCGGUACACCUCUCCCAGACUCCCACAGAGAGCGUGCUCCAAUUCAGCACCAGCCUCGCCGCACCUCCACUCUCCAGACAGAGGCGCCCGGCAGGCCGGCGCCUUCCGCUUCAAGCCUCCUCCACUUCACCAGCCCGUCGCCCGCGCCCUCCCCUGCCGCGCGAGCUCAAAAGCAGAGCCGCACGCAGGAAGCGCCCUACUCCGCCGCCACACGCUGCAGCUUACUAGAAGCUAGCAAGACUGCAAGAGCCCAAGCCCAAGCCGGGUAUCACACGCAUCCACCUGGAUACGGGGAGGAUCGGAGCAUGGCUGCGCAGGCCAUGGAAUGCAGGUUGCUCCAAUUUGCCGGGGUUGCUUGAUUCGUUCUUGCAUUCUUGGAUUGUUUCUUGGCUCUUAUCAUCGUUUCAGAAACUGUUGCUAGGAAUAUUUUAGUUCUUGAGUUGCUUGUUGGAUGUUCCAAUGGAAUCCUAGGAAAAAUUUCUGACCUGCUUCUGCACUUGCGUUGCAUUGCAUUGAUUCCAGGGUGAAUGGUGGGGGAGGGGAGGGCGGUGGUGGUAUGAGGACGGUGGAGUGUCUGAGAGGCAGGCUGCUCGCGGAGAGGGUGGCAUCCAAGGCUGCCAAGGAGGAGGCCGACCAACUGGCCAAAAGGCUGGACGAGCUGGAGAAGAAGCUCGCUGACGAGGUAAAGGUGAGGAACAAGGCGGAGAGGAGGCUCAGAAGGGCCAUCAAGAAGCUCGAGUCCCUCAAGAUUCUGGACGUGGAGCUCUCGGACGGCUCCAUCAGCUCGCUGUCCUCCUCCAAUGGCCGCUUCGGUCACCAGGCGCCGGAGGUGGAGGAGAGGAACAGCCCUGGCUCGUUGACCACUGAUGAUUCCGUGCCUUCCGGUCCUCAAGCAGGUGGCGAUGCCGACACCGACAGCGCCAAGGGCUCCUCCGCCGGUUCCUGUACUCAAGGUAACUCCCAGGACGGGAGCUGGUGCUCCGUUGUGUCCGAGCAAUCCCCGGCUGGUGCUUGCAUGGAUCUUGCCGGCACAAACAACACCAACAGCUCUGAGGAGAGGGCCGGCGAUCAUGAUUCGGAGAGGCAACACCUUGAUGCAUCCAGUGGCUGUGGCUCAGCGAAAUCCGAAGUAGAAUCAUUCCACGACAGCGACGACAGGCUAGCGCUUGUGCUGGUAGACCCCCAGCUCGUUGCACAAGCGGACGGUGGCUCAAGAACGGAGGACAACGACACCCAAACAGCAGAGCUCCAUGCCCUGACUCAAGACGAGGAAGCACAGCAGGGAGAAGAGAACAAGCUCGCCAUCGUUCUGGCCGACCCACAGCCCCAGCCGGCUGCCACCGCCGUGGGAGCCGGCCCGCCGGAGCCACACGCCGACGUGGAGUCCGUUCUCCUGGCGCUGCGGCGGGUCAAGGAGCAGCUGCGCUACACGAUCGAGCGGCGAUCGGAGCUCGUCGCGCACUGAGGGCUCCGGGAGCGCGCUGGGCCGUUCACCAUCAUCAGACCUGCAGCGAUUUAUUCUAUUCAUAAUCCUGUUUACGGGUGCAUCUUGUCCUUUUCACCUGCAGUGAGUAAUAUACAUAGCGCUGUUUAGGGGGUGUCUGUAGAGAAUGGAAUAAAGAUUGGCACAUGUGGAGCCACACUAUUUACAGGUAA